rnacentral:rRNA from 1 species
CCUACGGGGGGCAGCAGUAGGGAAUCUUCCACAAUGGGCGCAAGCCUGAUGGAGCAACACCGCGUGAGUGAAGAAGGGUUUCGGCUCGUAAAACUCUGUUGUUGAAGAAGAAUGUGCGUGAGAGUAACUGUUCACGCAGUGACGGUAUUCAACCAGAAAGUCACGGCUAACUACGUGCCAGCAGCCGCGGUAAUACGUAGGUGGCAAGCGUUAUCCGGAUUUAUUGGGCGUAAAGCGAGCGCAGGCGGUUUUCUAAGUCUGAUGUGAAAGCCUUCGGCUUAACCGGAGAAGUGCAUCGGAAACUGGAUAACUUGAGUGCAAGAGAGGACAGUGGAACUCCAUGUGUAGCGGUGGAAUGCGUAGAUAUAUGGAAGAACACCAGUGGCGAAGGCGGCUGUCUAGCUUGCAACUGACGCUGAGACUCGAAAGCAUGGGUAGCGAACAGGAUUAGAUACCCCAGUAGUC